rnacentral:rRNA from 1 species
CGCGGCCUAUCAGCUUGUUGGUGAGGUAACGGCUCACCAAGGCAUCGACGGGUAGCUGGUCUGAGAGGAUGAUCAGCCACACUGGGACUGAGACACGGCCCAGACUCCUGCGGGAGGCAGCAGUGGGGAAUAUUGCACAAUGGGCGAAAGCCUGAUGCAGCAACGCCGCGUGCGGGAUGAAGGCCCUAGGGUUGUAAACCGCUUUCAGCAGGGAAGAAAAUGACGGUACCUGUAGAAGAAGGUGCGGCCAACUACGUGCCAGCAGCCGCGGUGACACGUAGGCACCAAGCGUUGUCCGGAUUUAUUGGGCGUAAAGAGCUCGUAGGCGGUUCAGUAAGUCGGGUGUGAAAACUCUGGGCUCAACCCAGAGACGCCACCCGAUACUGCUGUGACUAGAGUGCGGUAGGGGAGCGGGGAAUUCCUAGUGUAGCGGUGAAAUGCGCAGAUAUUAGGAGGAACACCAGUGGCGAAGGCGCCGCUCUGGGCCGUAACUGACGCUGAGGAGCGAAAGCGUGGGUAGCAAACAGGAUUAGAUACCCUGGUAGUCCACGCCGUAAACGUUGGGCACUAGGUGUGGGUCUCAACCAACGAGAUCCGCGCCGUCGCUAACGCAUUAAGUGCCCCGCCUGGGGAGUACGG